GGCUAUGAAUGGCACACAGUGCAAGAGACGAGCGAAUCCCCUUAGGUACUUCUAUACUAUACAGUUGCGCUGCCUCAACCUCUUCAGGUCGGCCUCCAUCCUCUCUUUCACACUAUUCAGGAAAUAUCCUCUAAAUAGCACAUCCCUAGAACUCUAUCCAUGUCACCGAACGUGCAUCUUCAGGCCUACUUGCCCUAGCACUCAUCCACCAACCAUAGGCGUCACCUUUAAGGCAGUGAACUAGAUCCCUCUUAGGGAUGAACAAAUUCUCAAACAAUAUCUCCAUAGUUCCGAAUAGACCUCCAUUACCUAUGGCUCGGUGCUCAUACCACUGAACUGGAACGGGUCGAACCUUCUGAAGUUCGUUAAUCUUGUCCUAAUUUUGUCUUGCUGUGCCUCUAAUAUCCAUUGGGAAGCUAUUGAUGUGUCCACCGUAGCUGUCGACGCAAUCAUAGUAGUCUCCCUCGGGGUGCAUAGGAACUGUCAAUACAAUAGUCUUAGUCUCUAUCGGAGGCGUCAGAGUCGUUGGUGCAACAAUCUGAGCAAUCGAUAAAAGUACCGACUAUUCUGGGGCCUACUAUACGACGCACGUCUCCUGUACCCACAUUUCGCACAUCUUUUGCAUUUAUUGCUUUUUUCGUCGGGAGGCCUCAAACUGUCUCUUUAUGGCCCCUCUCAUCCCAACUAGCUACUCACACAGCUCUUGCACCUCAAUAGGUCCAACCUAGCUUGGCUUCUUAGGCCGUGCAAAGGUAGCUCGCAUCGAUGGCCGCUCGUAUGGUCGUCCAUAUGAUGAUGUCAAAAGUGGUCGUACUCGACAAGGCAUCGUAAUCACAUGAAAACAAAAUGCACAUCAAUCACGCAAUGAACAAACAACUUGACCCAGUCAAGCGAAUGCUAGAAGGACAUCUCUUUUUUUAUGCAAUAUUAUGUUGUCUGUAGCCAACAUAAUCAUCCAGUAAGAAAAGACACAUCUACUUCAGUCACCCUUCAUUUUCUUCUGAAGAGUUCACAAAAUUUAGUUUAUCAACUUUCGCUACAAAUCACGUCUUAACUUUUAGGGUUUGCUGAAAAGCCUAGGGUACACUUGACAUAUUUCUGGACUCUGAUAUCAACCUUAUUUGUCGUGCCCUAGAUUCACAGUGAAAGUCCUCGGGUACGCAAAUAGAUGUGCAAGGACUUAUCCUACACACACAAAGUGUCCAAAUCGAACAUGUAGUAAAUAAACAAUCCUAGGAGUCUACAACUAGUAAUUCUAGGAGUCUAUAGCUAAAUAUGUAUCAGAGUAGAAUAUAAGACUAAAUCAACUAACUAUUACUGUAUAUGCAAUCAUACAACCCACAACUCCCAAAACAUAAAUACAAGUAAAGAGCCCUGGCCACAUCAGUCCCGAUGUGUAGUGCGAUACUUAAAAGCUACAACAAUAGGUGGUCCACCUCUAAUUACACUCACAAACACGUGGAGUCUUUAUCUACAGCACGAUCCCCUAACCUUAAUUAAUACCUGGCACUGAGGGCUCUGAAUAGCAAACCACAAGAGAGUGUGAGAACUACUAAACAAUAGUGUUCAAUGGGUACAGUCAGUGACAACCACGGCCUACCCAUUUGGUCUACUAGAGACAACAAUGAAGAAUAACUGAACACAGUGGUAAUAUGAGUUACGGAACAGAAUAACUACUAAAUCUAUCAUGCCUCUAAAUAGAUAAGGAAACAAAAAUGUAAAUAGCUAAUACAUGCAUCAAAUAAGGCAACCAUGUAAUGCUCAAAUACCCAAUCAUAUAACGGUCGGCUUGAUAGUUCGGCCAAGCCCACUCCUGCCUAUUGCCCGGACCACACUCUCUCAGGUGAGCAAUCAACACAUAGGCUACUAUCUUUACUAUAUCAUUGGCCAUCCUUUGGAGUGACACUCGAAGAAAGUGACCCCUACCGAGUAUAAUAACACAUGUUACUAUCAACCUUAAUGUGGCUAUGUAGAGUAUAGUUCAAUCCGAUGACUAAAAAUAUCAUAAGUAACUGUCUAGAUGUCCUCGGCACGAUCAUAGUGUCAACUAACCAACAUGUCACAAUAACAAGAUAUAUCUCACUGUCUACAGUUCUACUGUCUGAUGGCCCUUUGGCCUUAUCAGAGUAUAUAAAAUAUAACUCAACAGUAGCAACCCGAUAAUCUAGACUAGCUCAACCUACUGCCCAAAUAGUCGACCAUAAAAGCAUAGUCAGAUAAAUACCAGAUAUUUAUCCACAUCCUACUACUACCAUACAACUCUAUCAGACAAAGCAACAAUUAUAUAAAUAUGCAGGGAAAGAUAUAGAAGAUAGUACUGUAUUUUCAGCAACACAGAACCCACCUAGAAAAAAUGACUCCAAAAUGGCAAAGAAUGACGCACUCGGACCUCUUCAAUAGCACCCUCUCUAAUGAGAGAAUCGAUGACAAACCACAAAAAGAAUUUUGAGAAAUCUGGCUUAAAAAUAAUAUGGUAAAUCCCUAUCACCUACUGUAAAAAUCGCGCCUUGAAAAUCCCAAUCAAUUUAAUAAUAUAUUUUAAUAUGAACCUCAAAUACGACACGAAGGACAAAAAUUAUGCACGCGCGUCAUCAUCCAUCUCCAAGGAUCCCCGUUUCUCCUCCCUUUCUCUCUUUCUCACUUUCUCUAUAGCUCACUUUCUCUAUAGCAUGAAAUAAGGAAAGUAGAAAAGAAGGAAUAAAAGAAAGCACUCCAAUACUAUAUAAAUACAUGUACAAUGCAAAAGGCCCUCUACGUAUUAAAUAUUCCAACCUCAGCCAAAAUCCAAUGUUUUGGGCACCUAAAACCCUUUUUUUGGUGCAUGAAACCUCAAAUUUUGGGCAUUUCGGAUGUUCUCUCUUCUAUUCGACCACCUGAUUUCAUCAUAAUAGUGGCCAGAACCAAUUCAAGCUCAUGUCCCCUGUGUCCAAAUUCUUGCUGAGUCACUCUGCACACAUGUGCACCCUAACAUAAGUCAAAUCAACCUUACCUACUUUCUAGGUUGUUAUAGUGCCCAAAUUCGGGUGUUCGCAUCAAGGCCCGGAACACAUUCUAGCCUUGCCAAAACUGGAUGACCUCAAGUGAGGUUCGAUGUAAUUAAACUCAACCGGAAACAGUACUUUUGAGGGCCCUAAUAACUUUUUGGACGUCCAAAAGUCACAAAUACUUAGAUUCACCCAAAAUCUAGUUCUCGACUGCAUUUUUGCGUCAAUUUUGAGCCAAAAUGGUUCCAACCCAGUCCAGUAUUCUAAAAACAUACUGACUAACAACUUAUAUUGCAACCUUACCUAUUUGCUAAAGUUCCAUACACUACAAUAACACUAUCAAGCAACUCCCAAACGUAGCUACCUCUCCCAUCCGCUUCCAUCUGAGAACCCUAUUUUUUUCCCUCUUUCUCCAUCUUCUUCAUCUCUCUUUCUUUAUCUCUUUUUAUUAUUUUUCAUUAAAUCUUAUUUUUUACUUUUUCCUAGUAGUGUCUAAACUCUUCAAAUUGGAAGUUUGAGCUGGAAUACAAGGAGGAAAGCUCUUGGAGAAUUAACCAAGUGCUUCAAUGCUGGAAUCAUGGAAUUAAGGAAUUUUGGAGACAAAGGUUAGUAAUUUAGUACAUAUAUGUUUUGAAGGUUUUGGAUAGUUUUUUUUAGAAGUACUUAUAUUAGGGGAAUUUUGGAGGUGGUUAUGUUAGAGUUCCAUCUUUGAUGAGAUUUG
rnacentral:lncRNA from 1 species